CGUCGUAUGGGCCGGUUUUUUUUCAUAUUUUUUGCCGAUACGACGUAGCACUUGUAAAUUAAAAAUUGUUUUAAAAAUGAGUUUUGUGCCACUUUGUGAUUACUUUAUUGGUAGGUAAUCAGCGUAUUGCCAUGUACAACAGUACACUACCAUUUUCGGUUGGAAAGGAAUGAUAAAUGUGUUGGUCCCUUUCGAAACAUCGCACUGGUUUUGUGUAUAGUUACUAUAUUCAUAGUUAGGGGGAUACACUGAGCGGAGCCAAUUAAACAUGUCAAAUGCAGGAGCCAAUCGAGCAUGACGUCACAUAACAUGUUCUCUUUUGAUGUACACGGAAAAGGUAUAUUGAUUAUGGUCAUAACUAUUUUAUUCUUAUCUUGUGUUAGAUCAAGUGUAGAGAAACGAAAAGAACCAAUUUUUUCUGUAGCAAGAAGAAAUAUUCGCACAAGUAUGAAAUCAGAUCAUCAGACCUUCGAAUUGGUUUUUCUUUUCGUGCAUGUAAAGUUCUUACUUACGACGACAAUGAAAUUAUUAAGCUA